UGGGGAAUAUUCCGCAAUGGACGGAAGUCUGACGGAGCAACGCCGCGUGAGUGAUGAAGGUUUUCGGACUGUAAAGCUCUGUUGUUUAGGACGAAAGUGCCUGUUGCGAACAGUUACAGGUAUUGACGGUACUAAACGAGGAAGCCACGGCUAACUACGUGCCAGCGGCCGCGGUAAUACGUAGGUGGCAAGCGUUGCCCGGAAUUAUUGGGCGUAAAGAGCAUGUAGGCGGAGAUUUAAGUCUGUUGUGAAAAUGCGGGGCUCAACCCCGUAUUGCGAUGGAAACUGAAUUUCUUGAGUGCAGGAGAGGAAAGGGGAAUUCCCAGUGUAGCGGUGAAAUGCGUAGAUAUUGGGAGGAACACCAGUGGCGAAGGCGCCUUUCUAGACUGUGUCUGACGCUGAGAUGCGAAAGCCAGGGUAGCGAACGG
rnacentral:rRNA from 1 species